rnacentral:rRNA from 1 species
UACGUAGGGUGCGAGCGUUAAUCGGAAUUACUGGGCGUAAAGCGUGCGCAGGCGGUUCGUUAAGUCAGAUGUGAAAGCCCCGGGCUCAACCUGGGAACUGCAUUUGAAACUGGCGGGCUUGAGUGUGGCAGAGGGGGGUGGAAUUCCGCGUGUAGCAGUGAAAUGCGUAGAGAUCGGGAAGAACAUCAGUGGCGAAGGCGGUCUGCUGGGCCGUUGCUGACGCUGAGGCGCGACAGCGUGGGGAGCAAACAGG